AUUGAACGCUGGCGGCGUGCUUAACACAUGCAAGUCGAACGCAGUGGCGAACGGGUGAGUAACGCGUAAUCAACCUGCCCUUCAGAGGGGGACAACAGUUGGAAACGACUGCUAAUACCGCAUACGGAAGGAGGGGAUUGCGUCUGAUUGGCUAGUUGGAGGGGUAACGGCCCACCAAGGCGAUGAUCAGUAGCCGGUCGGGGAGGAUGAACGGCCACAUUGGGACUGGGACACGGCCCAGGCUCCUACGGGAGGCAGCAGUGGGGAAUCUUCCGAAAUGGACGAAAGUCUUGCGGAGCAACGCCGCGUGAGGUAUGACGGCCCUCGGGUUGUAAAGCUCUGUUAAUCGGGACGCGGUACCGGAAUAGAAAGCCACGGCUAACUACGUGCCAGCAGCCGCGGUAAUUC
rnacentral:rRNA from 1 species